rnacentral:lncRNA from 1 species
GGUUAGUAAAUUUUAAGAGGAAUAAUUAGUAAUUAAAUUACUGAUUAGCUCAAUUUGAUUUAGUAAUACAAAUUAGUUUAGAACUAAUUGAAUUAGAUUUAAUUUAGUUUGUUUCGGUUAAGUUAUCAGAUGACCUAAUAGUCUAGGGUGAAUAAUUUUUGAUUUGAUCAGAAAUUAAGCUUAAUUAAAUUUUGAUAUGAUUAGGAUUUAAUCAUGUUUGGGACCUGAUUGGAUUGGGUUCAAAUUGAUCUAAUUGGUUUAACCUAAUUUGAUUGGGUUGAAAACUUAUUGGAUGAAACCCUAGAGUCCAAAAUAGCUUGGACUCUGCCUCACCCUAGCCGACCAUCCAUGUGGAGCCACCCCCUUUAUUCAACACCAAAAUUAGGUUGGCAUGAUGAUCUCCAUGCCCACAAAGCCUUGUCUCCCACUCUUGAUAGGGAUCAAGAGUUUGGAUCAAUUGGUUGAUCCAAUCGAAUUCAAAUCUGAUUUGAAUUCUAAUGAAGAUGAGAAAUCUGUUCUCAUCCAAACACCUCCAUGCCUUAUUUAUAUAAACCCCUAUUUUUUGUGGGACAAAGAUGAGAUCAUAAAGAUCAUUGAGAGACCCCUUGAGGUGUGAGCUAGGGUUUUGGGUGUGAGGUCUUGGGGUUGGGUGGCCAUCCUUGGUGUGUGAGCAUAGAGGAGUCUCUUCUCCUCUUGGGUGAGUGUCCUAGAAAUCUGUUCUAGAGUUUUGAAAAAGAGAAAAAUAUUAGAGAAAGAGUUUUUCUACCCUUCUUCCAGCACCAUAAGUCCUUUUUGUUUUUCUUUAGGUCUAGAGGAGUUCGAG